CUUUGAUAGCUGCUAUUCUGUUAUUAUGAGAGUGUAUGGAUUAACAAUGGUCUAGAUAUGCAUACUGUAGCAUACUGUAGCUCCACUGUUACACCACCACCCACCAAGCUUCAAAGAUGGAGGCUAAUCUGAGGUGCUUACGCCUUGCUGGGAGAAUCUUUGCUCCACCAUUGUUGAGUGCUACAUAACCUGCCUCAUCGCUGAUCACCACCAUGAUAAGGUCUCUGUAUUAUCCCACGGGAGAGUCACAAAAGAAGGUUGGCUAUCGGAGCUCUGCAGUUACCACCUACUGUUAUUGUUAAAUGUGAAUGUGAGCCUGUGUUUAAAGAUUCUGCAAAGCAAUUCGGUAAUACAGUAUCAAGGAAUUGCACAAAAGAUCCCGAAGAUCUCAGUGCAGUAUUAAUGCAGUGUUCUUACAGGCAGCAGAGUUCUACUUUGAACUGCAGUGGUGAUUACGUGAUUCAUAAAGAUCUAUAAAACUGACAAUAAUUCAGUUUUAAACAGUAUGUUAAAGUGGAAAUGAAACACUACAUAUAUUAAGCCUAAUUUACACCAUGGCGCUUUACUGUAAAAAAAAAAAGGUCACAAAUUUAACACCGUCUGUGGAACUCGAUUUAAAAUAUAAGCGUUUUAAGUUACAGUUUUUAGAGCAUGUUUAAUGUCAUCUUGUCGAAGUGAAGAACAUGAAGUCACUAGUUUGGUAGUCCUACAUUCAGUUAUGUUAGCUAACUACUGACAGAACCAAAAACAAAAUAAUAUUGAAAACAAGAAAAUUAAAAUGGAAAAGACUUAUGAAAAGACUGUCCACUUUCACUCUUUGUCUCUUAGUCCACUGAAACAGGCCUGUUGGCUGUAAUUCUUGGGUUUGUAGAGCAGUUUAUGAAUGCUGGCUGCUGUCCCCUCUGUGUUUUCCUUGUCGUGUCAGAUGUACGGAAAAAGUUUAAGAGCAUAUGUCUACAAGAUGUGUCAAUCACUAUUUCAUGCAAUUUGUUAUUUAAUCCCCAGUUAUAUCAGGAUUAAGUCUUCCUUUCCCCCAAGCACACCCAACCAGUUAACAACAUAAUAUUAUAUAGCAUAUAAUAGGCUACUGCCAGUGUUGGAUAUGACAUGUUAUAGUAACGUAUUACUGUGAUCACUUGACAUUUGUCAGUAACAUAUUACUGUACUAAAUUUAGUAGUUACAUUACAGUUACACUUAUGUUGUUACUACAAAGGUUCUUCAGUUGUCUUCCUGCAAACUUGCGUUACAAUCAGCUAAUUUUAGUUCAUGUGUGUGAGGAGUAAAAUGGUGGAGCAAUACAGCAAUACAGCUACUGAGGAUUGGAGAUAAGGAUAAGAGCGCAAAGCUAAAUUGGAAGCUAAAAAUGCUAACAGCUCUUUGUUUCUUUGCAAGCAUGUGCACAGACAGCAUGCUAACGCUAGUGCUAACCCAGUGUGAUUUUAAAGCUGAGUGCAUGCACAUGCCAGCUCAGCAGUCAGAGACUCAUUCUUCUGCACUUCACUUCUUCCACACUUCACUUCUGCAGGUAACAAAAGCAGUGAUGAGCAGUCAGGCUUGUAGCCUCCGUUUCUACCUGUUAAUGUUUGUAGCGUAGAAUCACUGUGGCGAUCACUUUGAAGUCUCUGGUCUGGUUUUUGUCUUUGUGUUGUCAGCUUUGUGUUCAUACAUAAAUACUAAG